rnacentral:tRNA from 1 species
UCCCUGCUGGCUCAGAUGGUAAAGAAUCUGCCUGCAAUGCAGAAGGCCAGAGUUCGAUCCCUGGGUUGGGAA